AACGAAUAGUGUGAUUUGGAAUCAGUGAGCAUUAAGCUCUUUGUUUGCUAAAAACACAUUAACAGGUGAAGAAGUUUUGUAUCAGCAUCUUGCGUGGAGGCCGGAAAAUGUUGUCGGGCACACAGACACACAUCCCCUCCGGAGCAAGAACAAAGAACAGCUCACUCGGUGGCGCUACGGGCGGUGUCAGAGGGUUUAUUUGUCCGGCCCGGAGGGUUUAGGAAAGCGCUGCUCGGUGUUUAUUUCCCGGCGGCUCCGGGCCCAGGCCGGGCCACGCCGAGCACGGGCCGCCGCCAGGGGCCGCCCGCCGCGCGGGGAUCGCCCUCAGCGCCUCAGCGCCAUGGGCGGGACGGGAACGGGCGGGACGGGCUGAGGGACGGGCCGGGCCGGGACGGGACAGGCGAGGUCCACCUCCACAGCAGAAGUGAGGCAUCCAUUUCUCAUAAAUACCUCAGAUAGGACCUGCAAUCUGAAGGAUCCCUAAGGCCAAUCCAGACCACACAGCUUGGAUGAGGAGGGGGGAAAUUUUCACAGCAAGUUGAUUUCCAAAUAGUCAUCAUUUUAUUCAGGUAUUGUUAUCUUUUCUGCCCUGUUCUUUCCUUCUCUUUGGCUUGUUAAUAAGUAGUGGGGGAAAC
rnacentral:lncRNA from 12 species